UAUCAAAUGAGCCCAUUCAGGUGUUCCACCACUCCCUGUUGCUCUCUCGCACUGAUUGAUCGAAUCGUUCCCAUGCGAAAGAAUGGGAAGCAAAGGUUUGAUUUAUUUUUUGUUAGUACUGUUUUAAAUCGGAUUUUGGUCGGCUGUUAUGAUCAUUGAUUGUGUAGAAUUGAUUGAAAUUAAGUUUAAUAGAAAAAAAAAUAAUUUAAUUAAAUUUAUUAUAAUUUUUUUUCAUUUUAUUCUAAAUGAAAUAAUUUAGUUUAAUUUAAUAGAAUUUAAUUUAUUCGAAUUUAAUUCAAUUUAAUUUAAUUCAAUGUAAUUUAAUUUAAUUUAAUUUUAAUUAAAUCCAUAACAUUUCAUUUCAUUUCAUUUCAUUUCAUGUCGUUUCAUGUCGUUUCAUGUCAUUUCAUGUCAUUUCAUGCACAGCAAUAUCGCAAUAUCGAACAUAUGGCACAACCCCCACCCACAAAAAAAACACCGGCAACAGCUGUUGAUACGGUGCGCGCUCCGUUUGCCUUAGCGCGGUAUCGAUGUGAAAAAAAGGGAAGCAAAGGUUUGAUUUAUUUUUUGUUAAUACUGUUAUAAAUCGGAUUUUGGUCGGCUGUUAUGAUCAUUGAUUGUGUAAAAUUGAUUGAAAUAAAGUUUAAUAGAAAAAAAAAUAAUUUAAUUUAAUUUAUUACAAUUUAUUUUAAUUUUAAUAAAAACGAAAUAAUUUAAUUUAAUAGAAUUUAAUUUAAUUUAAUUGCCCUUUAUUUCAAUUCAUUUCAUUUAAUUCAAUAUCACGCGCCGCAAUAACGCGUGCGCAUAAAUACGCAUGCAUGCAACCGCACGCAACAAAUGAUCGAACGUAUGCCACCAAAACGCGACAACGUCAAGGUCAACAGCUGUUGGUACCGCGCGCGAUCCGUUUGCCUUAGCGCGGUAUCGAUGUGAAAGAAAGGGAAGCAAAGGUUUGAUUCAUUUUUUGUUAAUACUGUUAUAAAUCGGAUUUUGGUCGGCUGUUAUGAUCAUUGAUUGUGUAGAAUUGAUUGAAAUAAAGUUUGAUAGAAAUAAAAUAAUUUAAUUUAAUUUAAUAGAAUUUAUUUUAAUUUUAUUUUAAAUUAAAUAAUUUAUUUUAAUUUAAUAGAAUUUAAUGUAAUUUAAUUGCACUUUAUGUCAAUUCAUUUCAAUUCAUUCAAUAUCACGCGCCGCAAUAACGCGCGCGCAUAAAUACGCACGCAUGCAACCGCACGCAACAGCUGAUCGAACGUAUGCCACCCACCCCCACCCACAAAAAACCACACCGGCAACAGCUGUUGGUACCGUGCGCGCUCCGUUUGCCUUAGCGCGGUAUCGAUGUGAAAGAAAGGGAAGCAAAGGUUUGAUUUAUUUUUUGUUAAUACUAUUAUA